rnacentral:tRNA from 1 species
UUUAAAUAGUUUAAUAAAAAUAUUGGUUUGUGGAUCCAAAGAAAUAAAAAUAGUAAUUAUUUUAGACCA